rnacentral:rRNA from 1 species
UACGUAGGGACCAAGCGUUGUCCGGAAUCAUUGGGCGUAAAGAGCGUGUAGGCGGCUUGUUAAGUCUUGCGUGAAAUCUCGGGGCUCAACCCCGAGCGGUCGUGAGAAACUGGCAGGCUAGAGUUCGGUAGGGGAGUGUGGAAUUCCUGGUGGAGCGGUGAAAUGCGCAGAUAUCAGGAGGAACACCCGUAGCGAAGGCGGCACUCUGGGCCGGAACUGACGCUGAGGAGCGAAAGCGUGGGGAGCGAACAGG